GAUGAACGCUAGCGGCAGGCCUAAUACAUGCAAGUCGGACGGGAUCGGGGAGCUUGCUCCCCGUGAGAGUGGCGCACGGGUGCGUAACACGUAUGUAACCUACCUUUAUCAGGGGGAUAGCCUCUCGAAAGAGAGAUUAACACCGCAUAACAUCACAUGAUAGCAUUAUCGAGUGAUCAAAUAUUCAUAGGAUAAAGAUGGGCAUGCGGGACACUAGCUAGUUGGCGGGGUAACGGCCCACCAAGGCGACGAUGUCUAGGGGAUCUGAGAGGAUGACCCCCCACACUGGUACUGAGACACGGACCAGACUCCUACGGGAGGCAGCAGUAAGGAAUAUUGGUCAAUGGACGCAAGUCUGAACCAGCCAUGCCGCGUGCAGGAGGACGGCCCUACGGGUUGUAAACUGCUUUUGUACCGGAAUAAACCCUUUUACGUGUAAGAGGCUGAAUGUACGGUAAGAAUAAGGAUCGGCUAACUCCGUGCCAGCCGCCGCGGUAAUAC
rnacentral:rRNA from 1 species